rnacentral:lncRNA from 10 species
CUGACGGCCCCAGAUGGAGGCUGGCCCACCCUGCCCCAGCAGAUGGGAGGCUAUUUUUUAACCCCACAGGAAGAAGAGGACAGAAAUGAUUGCAGGGGGUUAACCUAGGCCCCUGGGGACGCUCCCUGUUUGCAUCCUCCUUUCCCCACAACCCAGAGAGCUAUGUGGGCUUCACCUGGAGUUCCCUGAAUCCUUCUGGAGCUCCCCGCAGAUCACAGCCGGAGCUGGCAGGGCCUGAGUGGCCCCUGUCUGCCAGGCGAGGGACCCAGAGCCCAGAGAAGUUUGACCAGGACUGGCUUCCUCUGCCCUCUCUGCUGUGUGCUUCCACCAGGAGCAUUUACUGAGCACCUCCUGUGACUCAGACCCUGCCCAGCACCCACACCAAGGACUUGGCGGAUGUGAACGAGACAGAGAGAGGCCCCAACCUGACUCCCCAAGCGGCCACAAACUGAGUCCCAACCUUGACCACAGCUUGAUUUCUAGUCCAAGUUGUCACUG